rnacentral:rRNA from 1 species
AGCUCCAAUAGCGUAUAUUAAAGUUGUUGCGGUUAAAAAGCUCGUAGUUGGAUUUCUGCCGAGGACAUCCGGUCCGCCCUCUGGGUGAGCAUCUGGCUUGGCUUUGGCAUCUUCUUGGGGAACGUUGCUGCACUUGAUUGUGUGGUGCGGUAUCCAGGAAUUUUACUUUGAGGAAAUUAGAGUGUUUCAAGCUGGCCUAUGCCUUGAAUACAUUAGCAUGGAAUAAUAAGAUGGGACCUCUGUUCUAUUUUGUUGGUUUCUAGAGCUGAGGUAAUGAUUAAUAGGGAUAGUUGGGGGCAUUCGUAUUUAACUGUCAGAGGUGAAAUUCUUGGAUUUGUUAAAGACGGACUAUUGCGAAAGCAUUUGCCAAGGAUGUUUUCA